rnacentral:rRNA from 1 species
CACCCGUUCCCAUCCCGAACACGGAAGUUAAGCUCUCCAGCGCCGAUGGUAGUUGGGGCUAGCGCCCCUGCAAGAGUAGGACGUUGCUAGGC